GUUGUUUAGAGAAAAGUCAUAUGAGAUUAAAGAAAUAUUCAGCAUCCAGACAUAAAUUAUUAUACAGUACUUCACUGAAGACUGCAUAUAUUUUCUAGAGUGUUUUUGAUGGAUGUGGGACUGUGCUACUUGCAUAAUAUUUCCAGGCAAGAUGUUUAAUGUGUAAUAGCAACAUCAACAAAUGUAUACGCCUCUUGCUCAAGCAUUAUAGAAAAAGAAAAAAUUAAAGAUAGCUUCUUUUAAAUGUUGUUGCAUCUGGAAGUCUGGCUGAGAAAUAAAUGCAAUAAAUUGCCAAAACAAAAUACAAGUAACAUCUCAAUGCAAAAUUGUGGGGUAACCAAUUUUUGCUUCCUUUUGUCAAGAGUUGAAAUCCCAAAGUGAUUCAGAAGUAUUUCCAAAAAUAUUUUCAGUAUGCAACAUAUUUCACUUUCUAAACCAGAUUCUUUGCAUAACAGAUCUGUAAGGAGUCCACAGCCUUCUGGAGAAAGUAUAGGAGGUAGUGCCUCAAAUUCUUGUUUGUAAGAGAAAAAUAACCAUACAAGAUUACUGUGAGUAAAGGUACUGUAAAGGCUCUUGGUAGCAAUGGUUGCUAAUGAUGCCAAGAAUACUAAAAAAAAAAAAAAUCCUUCAAACAAACAACCAUGUUUGCUGAAAAAGAAUACCCGAGAAGAUUUAAAACAGUAUAUAACAUCAUCUGUAGCUUUCCUUUCUUUUUUCCUCCUUAGCAAACCCAUCCUGUGACAUUUUUUUUUUCUGUUUCUCUGACUACAGAAUUAAUAUUACUUUUGAAUACUAUUAUUUUAAUGUAUUUUUUCAAGUUUUCUUAGAAUUUAAAUUUUUAUUAACUCCUUUCUUUUCUAACUCCACUCAAAAUAUUAGCAAAAAUCAAGACAGGGGAUAAGGAGUGUCAAAGACAAGAUUUUUAGGGACAUUGCUCCCAGGCAGCUACAAAUACAAACACAAUGAAUAUUGGCAGCAUUUAAUUCAGCUUCCUCCUGAAGGCAAAAAAACCUUAAGUCCUCCCUUGAAGGAGAAGGAAAAAGUGCCCAGACCUAGUCAGAAUCAACCUUGUAUCAAGAGCUGCACAAUUGUUGUAAUUCC
rnacentral:lncRNA from 1 species